rnacentral:rRNA from 1 species
UACGUAUGGUGCAAGCGUUAUCCGGAUUUAUUGGGUUUAAAGGGUGCGUAGACGGGAAAUUAAGUUAGUUGUGAAAUCCCUCGGCUUAACUGAGGAACUGCAACUAAAACUGAUUUUCUUGAGUACUGGAGAGGAAAGUGGAAUUCCUAGUGUAGCGGUGAAAUGCGUAGAUAUUAGGAGGAACACCAGUGGCGAAGGCGACUUUCUGGACGGUAACUGACGCUGAGGCUCGAAAGCGUGGGGAGCAAACAGG